CUGGGAAGUACGCUCGCAAGAGUGAAACUCAAAGGAGUUGACGGGGACCCGCGCAAGUAGGGGAGCAUGGGGUUUAAGUCGAAGCAACGCGAAGAACCUUACCUAAGCUGGCAAGCCCAAUGACAUGUCCUUAAUCGGAGAGUUCGCUUCGGGGACAUUGGUGACAGGGGGUGCAUGGUUGUCGUCAGCUCGUGUCGUGAGAUGUUGGGUUAAGUCCCGCAACGAGCGCAACCCUUGUCUUUAGUUGCCAUCAUUAAGUUGGGCACUCUAGAGAGACUGCCAGGGAUAACCUGGAGGAAGGUGGGGAUGACGUCAAAUCAUCAUGCCCCUUAUGCUUAGGGCUACACACG
rnacentral:rRNA from 1 species